rnacentral:snRNA from 1 species
CUCUAAUCUGUGAUUUUUGUCUAAGGUCAAGUUUAACAUCUGUUAGUAACAGUUAAAUAUCUUUUACAUCUUUGACUUGAAGAUAUCAUAUUAAACAGACUUUUAGGGCCAAAAGAUGGGUUGGAACUCUUUCUGCCUAUCCUAUGCAUCUGUUAUUGCAGUGUCUUUAGAAGCAGUACAC